GGAUCUGAGGGUGAUCUGGCUGCGUCACAUGUGACCCCGUCGAUCGCCAGGGCUGAUUCGGCUAAUCUGGCUGGCUGGGUGGGUGUCCCCUUCCUCCCUCAUCUCUCCAUGUGCGUCCCUCCCAAAGCUAUGCACUCUGUCAAAGAGAACAAAGAUGACCUUCCUUAAAACAGAGACCACCCACUCUCUGGUCAAGGGUUGCUGUGCUCCCCUGCUAGGACCUCUAGACAAGCGCUCAGAGAGUGAGAGAAACUGUCAGUAAGCUUUAUUCAGACAUUGGCUAGAAUUGGUGAAAGUUUUUUCCUGCACACACUCU
rnacentral:snRNA from 1 species